AGAGUUUGAUCCUGGCUCAGGAUGAACGCUAGCUACAGGCUUAACACAUGCAAGUCGAAGGGCAGCAUUGGAGUAGCAAUACUUCAGAUGGCGACCGGCGCACGGGUGAGUAACACGUAUCCAACCUGCCGCUUACUCGGGGAUAGCCUUUCGAAAGAAAGAUUAAUACCCGAUGGUAUAAAGAGUUCGCAUGUUCUCUUUAUUAAAGAAUUUCGGUAAGCGAUGGGGAUGCGUUCCAUUAGAUUGUUGGUGGGGUAACGGCCCACCAAGUCUACGAUGGAUAGGGGUUCUGAGAGGAAGGUCCCCCACAUUGGAACUGAGACACGGUCCAAACUCCUACGGGAGGCAGCAGUGAGGAAUAUUGGUCAAUGGACGCGAGUCUGAACCAGCCAAGUAGCGUGAAGGAUGACUGCCCUAUGGGUUGUAAACUUCUUUUAUAAGGGAAUAAAGUGAGGGACGUGUCCCUUUUUGUAUGUACCUUAUGAAUAAGGAUCGGCUAACUCCGUGCCAGCAGCCGCGGUAA
rnacentral:rRNA from 1 species